AACAAAUAGAAAAAUUCUUUUUUUAAUAAAAUUUAAAAAAAAAAUUAAACUAUAUUCAUUAAAAAUAAAGGUGAAAUUUAUUUUUAAAAUUAAAUUAAUAUAUAAUUAAAAUUCUUGAAUUAAACUAGGAUUAGAUACCCUAUUAUUUAAGAGCUAUAUAUUGUAAGUAAAUAAUUAUUACGAAAGCAAAAAAUUAUGGCGGUAUUUUAAGCUUUUCAGAGGAACUUGCUCUUUAAUGGAUAGAACACCUAAAUCUUACUUAAAUUUGCUAAAUCAAUUUGUAUACCACUAUAAAAUUAAUUAUUUACUUUAAUUAAUAAAGUUUAUAAAUUUUAGAGUAAAUUAAGUCAAGGUGCAGUAAAAAUUUAAGAAUGAAGUGAGUUACAUUUCUUUUAAGAGUACUACAAAUUUAAAAAUAAUAUUAGGAUUUGAAAGUAAAAUUAAAAUAGAAUGUUAAUUUGAAUAAAGCUCUAAAAUAU
rnacentral:rRNA from 1 species